GACGAACGCUGGCGGCGUGCCUAAUACAUGCAAGUCGAACGAACUCUGGUAUUGAUUGGUGCUUGCAUCAUGAUUUACAUUUGUGUGAGUGGCGAACUGGUGAGUAACACGUGGGAAACCUGCCCAGAAGCGGGGGAUAACACCUGGAAACAGAUGCUAAUACCGCAUAACAACUUGGACCGCAUGGUCCGAGCUUGAAAGAUGGCUUCGGCUAUCACUUUUGGAUGGUCCCGCGGCGUAUUAGCUAGAUGGUGGGGUAACGGCUCACCAUGGCAAUGAUACGUAGCCGACCUGAGAGGGUAAUCGGCCACAUUGGGACUGAGACACGGCCCAAACUCCUACGGGAGGCAGCAGUAGGGAAUCUUCCACAAUGGACGAAAGUCUGAUGGAGCAACGCCGCGUGAGUGAAGAAGGGUUUCGGCUCGUAAAACUCUGUUGUUAAAGAAGAACAUAUCUGAGAGUAACUGUUCAGGUAUUGACGGUAUUUAACCAGAAAGCCACGGCUAACUACGUGCCAGCAGCCGCGGUAAUACGUAGGUGGCAAGCGUUGUCCGGAUUUAUUGGGCGUAAAGCGAGCGCAGGCGGUUUUUUAAGUCUGAUGUGAAAGCCUUCGGCUCAACCGAAGAAGUGCAUCGGAAACUGGGAAACUUGAGUGCAGAAGAGGACAGUGGAACUCCAUGUGUAGCGGUGAAAUGCGUAGAUAUAUGGAAGAGCACCAGUGGCGAAGGCGGCUGUCUGGUCUGUAACUGACGCUGAGGCUCGAAAGUAUGGGUAGCAAACAGGAUUAGAUACCCUGGUAGUCCAUACCGUAAACGAUGAAUGCUAAGUGUUGGAGGGUUUCCGCCUUUCAGUGCUGCAGCUAACGCAUUAAGCAUUCCGCCUGGGGAGUACGGCCGCAAGGCUGAAACUCAAAGGAAUUGACGGGGGCCCGCACAAGCGGUGGAGCAUGUGGUUUAAUUCGAAGCUACGCGAAGAACCUUACCAGGUCUUGACAUACUAUGCAAAUCUAAGAGAUUAGACGUUCCCUUCGGGGACAUGGAUACAGGUGGUGCAUGGUUGUCGUCAGCUCGUGUCGUGAGAUGUUGGGUUAAGUCCCGCAACGAGCGCAACCCUUAUUAUCAGUUGCCAGCAUUAAGUUGGGCACUCUGGUGAGACUGCCGGUGACAAACCGGAGGAAGGUGGGGAUGACGUCAAAUCAUCAUGCCCCUUAUGACCUGGGCUACACACGUGCUACAAUGGAUGGUACAACGAGUUGCGAACUCGCGAGAGUAAGCUAAUCUCUUAAAGCCAUUCUCAGUUCGGAUUGUAGGCUGCAACUCGCCUACAUGAAGUCGGAAUCGCUAGUAAUCGCGGAUCAGCAUGCCGCGGUGAAUACGUUCCCGGGCCUUGUACACACCGCCCGUCACACCAUGAGAGUUUGUAACACCCAAAGUCGGUGGGGUAACCUUUUAGGAACCAGCCGCCUAAGGUGGGACAGAUGAUUAGGGUG
rnacentral:rRNA from 1 species